GCCAGGCGUGGUGGCGCACUCCUUUAAUCCCAGCACUCGGGAGGCAGAGGCAGGUGGAUUUCUGAGUUUGAGGUCAGCCUGGUCUACAAAGUGAGUUCCAGGACAGCCAGGGCUACACAGAGAAACCCUGUCUCGAAAAACAAAACAAAAAAACAAAUGAAUCUUUUUGUUUGUUCUUUUGGGACAGGGUCUCUCUGUGUAGCUCUGACUGUCCUGGAACUCACUCUGUAGAGCAGGCUGGCCUCAAACUCACAGAGAUUCUCCUGCCUCUG
rfam:Mus musculus chromosome X, GRC primary reference assembly.